CGGCGGACGGGUGAGUAACACGUGGAUAACCUACCUAUAAGACUUGGAUAACUUCGGGAAACCGGAGCUAAUACCGGAUAAUAUAUUGAACCGCAUGGUUCAAUAGUGAAAGACGGUUUUGCUGUCACUUAUAGAUGGAUCCGCGCCGCAUUAGCUAGUUGGUAAGGUAACGGCUUACCAAGGCAACGAUGCGUAGCCGACCUGAGAGGGUGAUCGGCCACACUGGAACUGAGACACGGUCCAG
rnacentral:rRNA from 1 species